UACGGGGGGGGUAAGCGUUGUUCGGAAUUACUGGGCGUAAAGGGCGCGUAGGCGGCCCUCUAAGUCAGACGUGAAAUCCCUCGGCUCAACCGGGGAACUGCGUCUGAGACUGGAAGGCUUGAAUUCGGGAGAGGGAUGUGGAAUUCCAGGUGUAGCGGUGAAAUGCGUAGAUAUCUGGAGGAACACCGGUGGCGAAGGCGGCAUCCUGGACCGGCAUUGACGCUGAGGAGCGAAAGCCAGGGGAGCAAACGGG
rnacentral:rRNA from 1 species